rnacentral:rRNA from 1 species
UACGGAGGGUGCAAGCGUUAUCCGGAUUCACUGGGUUUAAAGGGUGUGUAGGCGGACCGUUAAGUCAGCGGUGAAAUCUCCGGGCUCAACCCGGAAACUGCCAUUGAUACUAUCUGUCUUGAAUAUUGUUGAGGUGGGCGGAAUAUGUCAUGUAGCGGUGAAAUGCUUAGAUAUGACAUAGAACACCGAUUGCGAAGGCAGCUCACUAAACAAUGAUUGACGCUGAGGCACGAAAGCGUGGGGAUCAAACAGG